UACAGAGGUCUCGAGCGCUGUUCGGAUUCAUUGGGCGUAAAGGGCGCGUAGGCGGCGGGGUAAGUCUGGUGUGAAAUCUCGGAGCUCAACUCCGAAAUUGCACUGGAUACUGCUCUGCUAGAGGGCUGGAGAGGAGAUCGGAAUUCACGGUGUAGCAGUGAAAUGCGUAGAUAUCGUGAGGAAGACCAGUGGCGAAGGCGGAUCUCUGGACAGCUCCUGACGCUGAGGCGCGAAGGCUAGGGGAGCAAACGGG
rnacentral:rRNA from 1 species